rnacentral:rRNA from 1 species
GACGAACGCUGGCGGCGUGCUUAACACAUGCAAGUCGAACGAAGAGCGAUGGAAGCUUGCUUCUAUCAAUCUUAGUGGCGAACGGGUGAGUAACGCGUAAUCAACCUGCCCUUCAGAGGGGGACAACAGUUGGAAACGACUGCUAAUACCGCAUACGAUCUAAUCUCGGCAUCGAGGAUAGAUGAAAGGUGGCCUCUACAUGUAAGCUAUCACUGAAGGAGGGGAGUGCGUCUGAUUAGCUAGUUGGAGGGGUAACGGCCCACCAAGGCGAUGAUCAGUAGCCGGUCUGGGAGGAUGGACGGCCACAUUGGGACUGAGACACGGCCCAGACUCCUACGGGAGGCAGCAGUGGGGAAUCUUCCGCAAUGGACGAAAGUCUGACGGAGCAACGCCGCGUGAGUGAUGACGGCCUUCGGGUUGUAAAGCUCUGUUAAUCGGGACGAAAGGCCUUCUUGCGAAUAGUGAGAAGGAUUGACGGUACCGGAAUAGAAAGCCACGGCUAACUACGUG